GUUAACUGGCUCGGUGACAGCUUGCUCAAAAAUUCUUUUCCCUAAGAGGUAAUGCCAAUACCUCUUGGAAGGACUGUUCUUGCUCAUGGACUCCGAGGGGCUAUAGAAGAAUGAAAGGAGAUGCAACCUGCUUUCCAGGAGUCUCAUGAGGAAGAUUGGACAGAUACAGAUAGAAGCAAAACAAACAUGCACAGAUAAGGAGGCUCCCAGGCUGCAGUAAACCAUCCAGUCCCGGUGGAAUCAUUCAUUGCAGGCAAGGAAACCAGGAGGCUCAAGAUUUUGUCAGAAGUGUCAGAGAAGAAUAUUUCAGAUGGAGGAGAUGGCUGUGGAGGGAAGCAAGCAUCGCCUGGAUAAAGCAGAUAAGAGCCUCUCUGCAUCAAAACUCACCCAUCCCUUCACCAGCCUGGAGCUCCUCAACUCAACUCUCUGACUGACCUACCUCCAUCGUCCUUAGGAAUGCCUUUGCAGAAGGCCCUGCCAAAGAAAGUGAGUAAAUGAAGGAAUGAAUGACAUCACCAAAAAUUCCAAGAAAUUUCAUUCUUCAGAUCACAGGUCCCCAACAUCUCACAUACCUGUACGUGGCACAAAAGGAUCCUGUUUCCUGUGUGCUAUUUUGGAAAAUGUGAUUAUGACUUCUGUGUGGGAAGGGAAGACACUCCCCAACAAUCCCAGUCCACCCAGGGCAUGGUGCAGGAGUAAGGCCCCGGUGACAGAAGAACGCUAGAACAGAGUGGGAGGAUGCUGAAGACAGUCUUCACCUGCUUCUCAUGCUCACACUGAACUCAAAGCAGUGGAAUUUUUGUCAGUUGCCCUAACCAGGUGUAGCUGAACUUGCCAUUCUCAGCUGCAAGGGGACUGUUUUGAUGAGCAAGGAAUGAAAGGAAAACUCUGAAUGUGGAUAUGACAGAAUAACAGCCUCUUCUCUCUCAAGAUUGCAUCUGUAUCUUCAAAGCCCUUAUACAGGCAAGUUCUCUUUCCCUUUGCUUUCUAAAAAUAGUAAAUAGUCCUGAGAUAUGUGUUGCUGUAAAAUAUUCUGUGAAACACUUUCA